rnacentral:rRNA from 1 species
UACGGAGGGUGCAAGCGUUAUCCGGAUUCACUGGGUUUAAAGGGUGCGUAGGCGGGCAGGUAAGUCAGUGGUGAAAUCCUAGAGCUUAACUCUAGAACUGCCAUUGAUACUAUCUGUCUUGAAUAUUGUGGAGGUAAGCGGAAUAUGUCAUGUAGCGGUGAAAUGCUUAGAUAUGACAUAGAACACCUAUUGCGAAGGCAGCUCACUACACAAUCAUUGACUCUGAGGCACGAAAGCGUGGGGAUCAAACAGG